rnacentral:rRNA from 1 species
UACGUAGGGUGCAAGCGUUAAUCGGAAUUACUGGGCGUAAAGCGUGCGCAGGCGGUUUUGUAAGUCUGACGUGAAAUCCCCGGGCUCAACCUGGGAAUUGCGUUGGAGACUGCAAGGCUAGAAUCUGGCAGAGGGGGGUAGAAUUCCACGUGUGAGCAGUGAAAUGCGUAGAGAGUGUGGAGGAACACCGAUGGCGAAGGCAGCCCCCUGGGUCAAGAUUGACGCU